rnacentral:rRNA from 1 species
CCUACGGGUGGCAGCAGUGGGGAAUAUUGGACAAUGGGGGGAACCCUGAUCCAGCCAUGCCGCGUGUGUGAAGAAGGCCCUCGGGUUGUAAAGCACUUUCAGUGAGGAAGAACGCCUGGUGGUUAAUACCCAUCAGGAAAGACAUCACUCACAGAAGAAGCACCGGCUAACUCCGUGCCAGCAGCCGCGGUAAUACGGAGGGUGCGAGCGUUAAUCGGAAUUACUGGGCGUAAAGCGCGCGUAGGUGGCUUGAUAAGCCGGUUGUGAAAGCCCCGGGCUCAACCUGGGAACGGCAUCCGGAACUGUCAAGCUAGAGUGCAGGAGAGGAAGGUAGAAUUCCCGGUGUAGCGGUGAAAUGCGUACAGAUCGGGAGGAAUACCAGUGGCGAAGGCGGCCUUCUGGACUGACACUGACACUGAGGUGCGAAAGCGUGGGUAGCAAACAGGAUUAGAUACCCUUGUAGUC